UUCUCUCUUUCUCCCCUUUUUUUCUCCCUCUUUCAAGUUUAAGACUUCUAUAUUCUUCUCUAAAAUAUUUUUCUAAAGAUCAAUCACCAACUCUUCACGACGGGGCAACGGACCGGACCGGAAUGGAACCACUGGACCAGAACGGGACGAGUUGACUGGUUCGUUGACCGAUACUUGAAUGAAUCAGGCCUAAAUUACUAGGACAAGUACUCAGUUUUGUCCUAUCCCACUAUAUACUAGGAUGGAACCGGAACAGACCGAAAUGGAAUUUGAUGGGAUAAACGGAAGACACAUCUAGUUAUUUCAAAAACUGAUUAAAUUUUUUUUAGUUAUUUUUGAUCUUUUAAUAAUGAAAAUAUGAAUAUUUUAUUUUA